GGAGACUUGUCCGAGUGGUUGAAGGAGCACGCCUGGAAAGUGUGUAUACCUCUAAAGGGUAUCGAGGGUUCGAAUCCCUCAGUCUCCGCGA
rnacentral:tRNA from 1 species